UACGAAGGGGGCUAGCGUUGCUCGGAAUCACUGGGCGUAAAGCGCACGUAGGCGGGUCUUUAAGUCGGAGGUGAAAUCCUGGAGCUCAACUCCAGAACUGCCUUCGAUACUGAGGAUCUCGAGUCCGGGAGAGGUGAGUGGAACUGCGAGUGUAGAGGUGAAAUUCGUAGAUAUCGCAAGAACACCAGUGGCGAAGGCGGCUCACUGGCCCGGUACUGACGCUGAGGUGCGAAAGCGUGGGGAGCAAACAGG
rnacentral:rRNA from 1 species